UGUAAAAAAAUUAUAUAUAUAUAUUUAUUUCUUUUUUUGUUUGUUUGUUUUUAAUAGCUAUUUGUCACCUAUUUACAGCGUGGCUGGGACGGACAGCAGGACACCACUGUCCCAGCCAGGUGACACGGGCAGGACCCAGAGGGGACAAGGACAGCCCCCAGCCCCUCCUGAGCCCUUGUCCCCUCCCCGGGGCUGCUUCAUCCUCGGGGCACACAAAAUUCCAGCACGCCCUGGGUAAACAAGUGGCACAGGUGGCACAGGUGACACAGGUGGCACAGGUGGCACAGGUGACACAGGUGACACAGGUGACACAGGUGACACAGGUGACACACAGAGUGCCCAGGGAACGCCCGGCUCAGCAGGAAGGUGCAGGAGGAGGAAAACCCAGCCCGGGCAUCCCUCACUCCUGCUCCUUCCUCUGGCUCCUGGGGCAGCUCUGGGGCACAGCUGUGCCCACUGCAGGGAAAGGUGGCACCAGGAGGGCACAGUGCCACCCCCAGCCAUGCCUCUGCAGCUUCUAAGGUUUGGGGCUUUUUUUUUGUUGUGAUAUUUGUUUUAAUUUGGAGGUUUUGUUUGGGUUUUUUUCCGCCCCAGGUUUGAGACAAAACAAAAACAAGAAGGGG